AACCGCUGAGGUCGUCACUGCUGC
rnacentral:piRNA from 1 species